rnacentral:rRNA from 1 species
GACGAACGCUGGCGGCGUGCUUAACACAUGCAAGUCGAACGGAAAGGCCCUGCUUUUGUGGGGUGCUCGAGUGGCGAACGGGUGAGUAACACGUGAGUAACCUGCCCUUGACUUUGGGAUAACUUCAGGAAACUGGGGCUAAUACCGGAUAUGAGCUCCUUCUGCAUGGUGGGGGUUGGAAAGUUUCGGCGGUUGGGGAUGGACUCGCGGCUUAUCAGCUUGUUGGUGGGGUAGUGGCUUACCAAGGCUUUGACGGGUAGCCGGCCUGAGAGGGUGACCGGCCACAUUGGGACUGAGAAACGGCCAAGACUGCUACGGGAGGCAGCAGUGGGGAAUAUUGCACAAUGGGCGGAAGCCUGAUGCAGCAACGCCGCGUGCGGGAUGACUGCCUUCGGGUUGUAAACCGCUUGCGCCUGUGAAGAAGAGUGAGUGACGGUAAUGGGUAAAGAAGCACCGGCUAACUACGUG